rnacentral:tRNA from 2 species
GCCCCUAUAGCUCAGUGGAUAGAGCGGGUGCCUUCUAAGCACUUGGCCGCAGGUUCGAAUCCUGUUAGGGGCAC